AAGACUAUAGACCUGCGGAGUACCUGCGGAAGGAUCAUUGUCGUAUUGUAACAAUUGGGGGGGCCACCGUGGGCUGUCGCUGACCCUUUGAAAGGGGGGUCGUGCACGCCCCCAUAGUGUCAUCCUCAUACAAUCCAACUCACCUCUGUGCAUCACCGCGUGGGUUCCUUUCUGGGUCGAGUCAGACUGGCUCAGAAAAAAGGGGCUUGCGUUUUCCAUACAAAUACCCUUAUAAAUCCA
rnacentral:misc_RNA from 1 species